UUGACUAAACUAACGAGACACGGCUGAAGACGAUUAUACAAUUAACUAGAACUAAAAAAGCAGGGCACACGAGACAACAACAAUAAUAAUAAAGAGUCCAGAGACGUGGCAGACCGUACUGUAAAAUAACUAGGAGUGUGAUUAUGGUUAACUUGUAAGCUCUGCACGAGUUCUCAGGAGAGCAGCCAAUCAAUAAAACAAAGUUUGUUCAAAAGCGAAUUCUCUCGACCCCGGUUCAGGGCUACGCAGAUUAAGCUUUGCAGAAAUCCCGUGACUGCAAUAUUCAGCCUGCGCACGGUUUCAGGACAACAUUUCCAUAUGGCUUUAAACGGCAACAUGGGGAAAAUCAUCCUAAAAGUCCCUCUGAUGUUGCUGGCGCUGCACAUACAAAGCGGAGAGUUUUCCGACAGCCCCGCUCUUGUGAUCGUCGAAGCUCCGAAGCCAGAAGUGGUAGAGUUCAACGGCACAAUCUACGCCACUUGUGAAGUCGCUCCGGUCCCUGAUUUGCCGGCCAGCCAGCCGCAGAUCUCUGGGCAGGUGCUCUUCAAGCAGGUCUUUCCCAACGGGACUCUAGAAGCGAAAAUCAACCUCCGUGGUUUGCCCGCUGACGAUCGGCAAGUGCGGGCCAUCCACAUCCACCAGUAUGGAGACCUCAGUCAGGGAUGCGUCACUGUUGGUCCUCAUUACAAUCCGCGGGCCGUUGACCACCCCGCUCACCCCGGAGACCUGGGCAACUUUGUUUCCGAGCAAGGAGCUAUAAGGAGGUUUCUGAAGCUUCCCGAGGCCAAGCUGUUUGGGGCUCAGUCCGUCCUGGGACGCGCCGUGGUGGUCCACGAGAAGGAGGACGACCUGGGAAUGGGGUCAGACGAGGAGAGCAGACGCAGCGGGAAUGCUGGGAAGAGAAUCGCCGGCUGUGUGAUUGGCAUCGCUACUCCAAGUCUGUGGAGGAAGACUGAAGGGCUCCCCGGGGAAGAGGAGCUGAAGCAGAAGAAAUAAAGCAUCGCGUCUCGGACUGCUACUGUUUACAUGUAGGAGCUGCGUUUGAAAUGGGACACAAAAGAAGACUUUUUGAAGAAUGCUGGUACAAGUCCAGCUUAUGAGCAUCAAUGCCAUGGAAGUCCUACUGACCACCAACAAAUUACAAGAGAGAAACACGUACAGCUUUGGAACGAGAGGAGGGUCAUUUUCGGCUGACCUAUCCUGGUAAAGCUUCCCAAGGGGGGUUGUAGGAUCAUUCUGGCUCCCUGAAGAACGUUUAAUAAAAGAAUCUUAUUUCAUCAUUGUGUAGAGCGUUAAGAUGUUUUGUGUAAUGGGAAGGCUCCGGUAGAUAAAUGUUCUUCACGGAACCACUGACACCAAUAAAGUGUUGCAUGUGUUUUUCUUUGCCCUGCGUUAAAAAUACCUUGUAAUUUGCUAGAUUUAUUGGCGUUACAAACAAUAUAAUGUGACAUUUUGCACCCUUUAACCAUUUUUGUUCAUUAGUUUUUUCACUUUAUCAGAAUGGUGUUACUUGCUUAAGAACUU